GUGAGGAAUAUUGGACAAUGGGCGCAAGCCUGAUCCAGCCAUGCCGCGUGCAGGAAGACGCAUCUAUGGUGUGUAAACUGCUUUUGUACGGGAAGAAACACUCCCUCGUGAGGGAGCUUGACGGUACCGUAAGAAUAAGGAUCGGCUAACUCCGUGCCAGCAGCCGCGGUAAUACGGAGGAUCCAAGCGUUAUCCGGAAUCAUUGGGUUUAAAGGGUCCGUAGGCGGUUUAAUAAGUCAGGGGUGAAAGCCCAUCGCUCAACGAUGGAACGGCCAUUGAUACUGUUAGACUUGAAUUACAAGGAAGUAACUAGAAUAUGUAGUGUAGCGGUGAAAUGCUUAGAUAUUACAUGGAAUACCAAUUGCGAAGGCAGGUUACUACUUGUGGAUUGACGCUGAUGGACGAAAGCGUGGGGAGCGAACAGGAUUAGAAACCCGGGUAGUCC
rnacentral:rRNA from 1 species